rnacentral:rRNA from 1 species
GAUGAACGCUGGCGGCGUGCCUAACACAUGCAAGUCGAGCGAUUCUCUUCGGAGAAGAGCGGCGGACGGGUGAGUAACGCGUGGGUAACCUGCCCUGUACACACGGAUAACAUACCGAAAGGUAUGCUAAUACGAGAUAAUAUGCUUCUAUCGCAUGGUAGUAGUAUCAAAGCUCUGGCGGUACAGGAUGGACCCGCGUCUGAUUAGCUAGUUGGUAAGGUAACGGCUUACCAAGGCGACGAUCAGUAGCCGACCUGAGAGGGUGAUCGGCCACAUUGGAACUGAGACACGGUCCAAACUCCUACGGGAGGCAGCAGUGGGGAAUAUUGCACAAUGGGCGAAAGCCUGAUGCAGCAACGCCGCGUGAGCGAUGAAGGCCUUCGGGUCGUAAAGCUCUGUCCUCAAGGAAGAUAAUGACGGUACUUGAGGAGGAAGCCCCGGCUAACUACGUGCCAGCCGCCGCCGUAA